rnacentral:rRNA from 1 species
GACGAACGCUGGCGGCGUGCUUAACACAUGCAAGUCGAACGGAAAGGCCCUGCUUUUGUGGGGUGCUCGAGUGGCGAACGGGGGAGUAACACGUGAGUAACCUGCCCUUGACUUUGGGAUAACUUCAGGAAACUGGGGCUAAUACCGGAUAGGAGCUCCUGCUGCAUGGUGGGGGUUGGAAAGUUUCGGCGGUUGGGGAUGGACUCGCGGCUUAUCAGCUUGUUGGGGGGGUAGUGGCUUACCAAGGCUUUGACGGGUAGCCGGCCUGAGAGGGUGACCGGCCACAUUGGGACUGCGAUACGGCCCAGACUCCUACGGGAGGCAGCAGUGGGGAAUAUUGCACAAUGGGCGGAAGCCUGAUGCAGCAACGCCGCGUGCGGGAUGACGGCCUUCGGGUUGUAAACCGCUUUCGCCUGUGACGAAGCGUGAGUGACGGUAAUGGGUAAAGAAGCACCGGCUAACUACGUG